rnacentral:rRNA from 1 species
UACGUAGGGGGCUAGCGUUGUCCGGAAUCAUUGGGCGUAAAGCGCGUGUAGGCGGCCCGGUAAGUCCGCUGUGAAAGUCGGGGGCUCAACCCUCGGAUGCCGGUGGAUACUGUCGGGCUCGAGUACGGAAGAGGCGAGUGGAAUUCCCGGUGUAGUGGUGGAAUGCGUAGAUAUCGGGAAGAACACCCGUGGCGAAGGCGGCUCUCUGGGACGGUACUGACGCUGAGACGCGAAAGCGUGGGGAGCGAACCGG